GAGAGAAUGGUUUCUCUGAAAACAGGGUAUCCCUGUAAAGCCUCCUCAGAGAGGUUUAACCCAGCAGUUGUUAGGUGGUUUAGCUAAAAUUUCUUAAGCAAAUACUGAACCAAACUGAGCAUAAAUAUUGUGAUAAUUAACUAUUCCUUUUUCCCCCAGAUGUGUAAACGGAGUAGUUUAGUUUUUCUUUCUCUUUUAGUCAUG
rnacentral:lncRNA from 1 species